GACGAACGCUGGCGGCGUGCUUAACACAUGCAAGUCGAGCGGUAAGGCUCCUUCGGGAGCACACGAGCGGCGAACGGGUGAGUAACACGUGAGCAAUCUGCCCUUCACACGGGGAUAACUCCGGGAAACCGGUGCUAAUACCCGAUACGACCACUUCAGGCAUCUGAUGGCGGUGGAAAGUUCCGGCGGUGAAGGAUGAGCUCGCGGCCUAUCAGCUUGUUGGUGGGGUAACGGCCCACCAAGGCAACGACGGGUAGCCGGCCUGAGAGGGUGACCGGCCACACUGGGACUGAGACACGGCCCAGACUCCUACGGGAGGCAGCAGUGGGGAAUAUUGGACAAUGGGCGAAAGCCUGAUCCAGCAACACCGCGUGAGGGAUGACGGCCUGGUGUAAC
rnacentral:rRNA from 1 species